rnacentral:hammerhead_ribozyme from 1 species
GCCUUACUGAAGAGUCCCAUACUAACAUAAAACAGCUGCUCAAUGCUUCCUGGUAUACAGCGGUCAUCUAAGGUCAGUUCGCAUUGCAUACAAUGUGACUCAAUAAUCUCCACAAAUCCCACAUACUGAAACCUUGUUAACUAGAAUACAGUCCUAUUAUGUGAUUCCUCAGCAGUGAGGAGUCCCAUAAUAGGACGAAACGGCCGUCCAGUGC